rnacentral:rRNA from 1 species
AACGAACGCUGGCGGCAGGCUUAACACAUGCAAGUCGAGCGCCCCGCAAGGGGAGCGGCAGACGGGUGAGUAACGCGUGGGAAUCUACCCAUCUCUACGGAAUAACGCAUGGAAACGUGUACUAAUACCGUAUACGUCAUUCGGGAGAAAGAUUUAUCGGAGAUGGAUGAGCCCGCGUUGGAUUAGCUAGUUGGUGGGGUAAAGGCCUACCAAGGCGACGAUCCAUAGCUGGUCUGAGGGGAUGAUCAGCCACACUGGGACUGAGACACGGCCCAGACUCAUACGGGAGGCAGCAGUGGGGAAUAUUGGACAAUGGGCGCAAGCCUGAUCCAGCCAUGCCGCGUGAGUGAUGAAGGCCCUAGGGUUGUAAAGCUCUUUCACCGGUGAAGAUAAUGACGGUAACCGGAGAAGAAGCCCCGGCUAACUUCGUGCCAGCAGCCGCCGUAACAC